rnacentral:rRNA from 1 species
GGCGCAGGCGGCUAAGUCAGUCUGGAGUGGAAUCCCGGGGCUCAACCCCGGAAUUGCUCUGGAUACUGCUUAGCUUGAGUAUGUGAGAGGAGAGUGGAAUUCCUGGUGUAGCGGUGAAAUGCGUAGAUAUCAGGAGGAACACCCAUGGCGAAAGCAACUCUCUGGCACAUCACUGACGCUGAGGCCCGAAAGCGUGGGGAGCGAACA